AAGUUGCUCCGGUGACGAUUUUCUUGUCGUGAAGUUCGGUGGCGUUUCAGUUCUCGGACACGUGUCUCUCCAUCGCUAACAAUGUAACGCGUGGAUGUGUACGGGUUGACUCAUCUUCUUCAUUUUGGACUUUUUUAUCUGGUUUUUUUGGGCUUUCUUUUUAGCUGUGUUGGGUUUUUUGUUUGCCCUGGGUUGGGCCUCCUUGUAUUUGCUGGUAUCUAGCCUUUGUGCUUUUAUAAUACAAGAUGACAAAAAAAAAAAAAAAAACGCAAGAGAAUAAUAAACAAAGACACACGCAAUUAACACGGUCUUUGAAAAUAGUUUUUUACUCAUUAGUCUUUUGUUUAUUAAACAAGUUAAAAAACGUUAUACAGUUGACAAAACACACAAUUAUAUAGAUUGAUUCAUAGUUACUAGCUCUGUAAAUUAUUAUAUAACGGGUAUCGCCAUUGUUACUGAAUAGUUUUUCACGACAAGUUAUUUAUGUUAUUAAUAUAAAAAAAACUAUUAUUACAAAGGUGUAUAGAUUUUACAUACGCCAUAUAUUAAAAAAAGGAAAAAUGGAUAAGAGGGAAUCACAUACUGCUUAAACUGAGUUUGAAUAAUAAUUGUAAUAGUAUUACUUUUUGGCAAUGGUAUAUCGUGAUGAUGAUAAUAAUAUCUAAGAGAACAUGUCAACAACUUAAGUGUGCAUAUUAUUGUAACCUGUCAAAUCACAUGUGACUGAUUGAUGUUGCAUUUUCAAAUGCGAUUCUCAUGGACUUCAAAUAUGUGGCUCACAAGCGUUUUGUCUUUUCGAUCUGUUUAAUCAUUAACAAAUGUUAUUUUGCUUUGCUUUAAUGUUAAUCUAGUCACGUAUAAGUUAUAACAUUAACAAAUGCGAAAUCCACCGAGGGAUCGAAUAAUCAAAUAUUAUUAAAAGCUUUCACGCAUGAAACUUGUUACAUUGGCUAUUUGUUUAUGUCCCGCGAUUUGGAAGAUCUCUCUACCACAUGUAUCUAUUCUCUCACGACAAAGGAAUACAUCCUCUACACAUAAGCUUUCUCAUAAACUAUCACUCAAUAGAGAGGGUGGUAUAUGAUACGUACAACGCAACUGUUGUCUCUUGUCAAACAUAACACUUUUUAGGCUUGCAAUCUAUUAAUUUAUAUUUUAAGCAAAAAAAAAAUCUAUUAAUUUAUACUUGUGGUAUCAAGCCUCAUCACAUACAUCUAUUUCCGUACAGACACACAAGUGCUCGCCAUAGCUAUAACAACGAGAAGGCGAUUGACAAAACUCUUCAGAAUCCUAUCGGACAUCGACUCUUUGGUUUUCUCCCCUUCCUCCGCUUUCCGUUCAUGCUCCGUUGUCUUCACCCCAAGAUCCAGUAAUAGGCCGGUAGACUCUUUAGCUAAAACCUAUCUUGUUACGUUUUUGGGCCUGAGACUAUAUAUAGUACUCUAUUUAUGCUUUUUAAAACUAUGUUAUGUUUUAUUUAAUUAAUCAAAGUAACUAGUUGCCCAAAAAAAAAACUUGUGGUAUCACAAUAUCACUAUUAAAAUUCAAAUAUUGGCUUAGAGUAAGUACGUAAUACAUGAACCAAUACGUAGUAAUUUUGAAAAAGGAUUGCAUAAUAAUCCUAACAUAAGAAAACUUAACGAAAAUUGCUUAAACAUAUACGGGCCUUUCUUAAAGCCCAAGCAAAUAGGGUUAUUUGAUCCAAACACUAUCUUGCAGUCUUGUUGAAUAUAUACCAAAAUGUAUAAGGGUUUAUAUGCAAUUGCUCCAUAGUUAAAUAACCAGCAAAUCACGUUGUCUUUUUAUCGCGCGAACUCGGUGCCCGACCCGUUGAAUGACCCGACCCGGUUAAUCGGAGAAGAGACGCAGAUAACGUUCGAGCCUGUAACUUCUCGCCGAGGAUUUCUCUCUCCAGUCUUCCUUUUACCGGUCCGUUUCGAGUGAAACAGAGGAUGGCAACCGGUUUAGCAAUAAACCGAUGCUCAAUUUCAGUAUGCAGAACGGCCGAUGUGUUACUAAACCGGCCAACGGUCUCCGUCGUCAGGAAUUUGAAAUUCAAUCGCCGGCUAAUCGGAAACUGCUCGAUUGCGUCGGCGGUUCCUUACAUCGUCGCGGAGGACGAGAAGUACGGUAACAAACAGGUCAUCAGCCUCACUCCUCGCCUCUACGACUACAUCCUCUCCAACGUUCGCGAGCCUGAGAUUCUCAAGCAACUUCGUGAAGAGACUGCGAAGAUGCGAGGUAGUCAGAUGCAGGUGUCUCCUGAUCAAGCGCAGUUACUAGCAAUGCUUGUACAGAUUCUUGGAGCAGAGAGGUGUAUCGAAGUUGGAGUUUACACGGGGUAUUCAUCAUUGGCUGUGGCGUUGGCUCUACCAGAAUCAGGACGUCUUGUUGCCUGUGAGAGAGACUCUAACUCUCUUGAAGUUGCUCAGAGGUAUUACGAGCUUGCUGGUGUCUCUCACAAGUUUGUUUACACUAGUCAGGUUAUUGUGAAACAUGGUCUUGCAGCAGAGUCAUUGAAAUCGUUGAUUGAGAACGGUGAAGGAUCCAGCUAUGAUUUUGCAUUUGUCGAUGCUGAUAAGAGGAUGUACCAGGACUACUUCGAAUUGCUUCUUCAACUUUUAUCUUCUGUUGAUGCAGGUCAGGGUUGGUGGAGUCAUCGUGAUGGAUAAUGUUCUUUGGCAUGGACGAGUCGCGGAUCCUAUGGUGAAUGAUGCCAAGACCAUCAGCAUUAGGAAUUUCAACAAAAAGUUAAUGAAUGACGAACGUGUAAGCAUUAGUAUGGUACCAAUUGGUGAUGGCAUGACGAUAUGUCGCAAGAGAUAAGAAAAAAAACAUUUGGAUCCAAGAGAGAAGUCUUUAAGCAUAAGAGUAUCAAUGAAGCCGAGCGCAUCACUGUCUGUAAACGUUCUUUUGUUUGGACAGUACUCACAGUUCUCACUGCAUUCUAGCAAAGAAAGCGUCGGGCACAGAGAACCUGAUCAGCUUGGGAAGGCCCAACACAUUAAGUUACUAUGCUUUUUCGACAUUUUGGCCGUUCUGAUUACUUGAAAACAAAAGUUUAAUUAAUGUUGAACUUGCAUAACCUUAAACACUAAUGGAGUAAUGGGACUGAGCAAAGUCUGAGAUAAUAUCAGAGCAUCUUAACCGUUCAAA